ACAGGGUGUGCACUAUCAUCGUAACAGCAGAGACGGAGAGCAAGAUGUGAGGAGGUUAAAAGUCAGGGUCAGAAGUUCAGGUUGCUCUGACCCUCAAAUCAAUUUCAAGCACUGUUUGUGACAUUUUCCUGUGUUCCCUCGCUUGAUGUUAGUCUUUGCAAUGAACCACCGAAUCAGACUUCAGGGCUCAUGGGACUUUGGGGUUUCAGUAGGGUCAGGUCAAUUUCUACCUACCAGUGUACUGUCACCUAUGAGGCAAACCAUUAUCUAGGCGUUUGAGAACCUCAAAGUUUUGAAGCUCUGAGGGGAAAGAGAGAGGAUGAAGCGCUGGGGCCCCUGUGUCUUUGGGGCCUGACAUAGCUCAACCUGUGGCUUCAGGGGGACCGUGUGCAGCCAGGUCACAGUGGUACCGGAAAGGGAUCCUGAUCCAGACCCCAAGAGAGGGUUCUUGGAUCUCGUGCAAGAAAAAAUUCAGGCUGAUGGCACUAAGGCUGAACCCAGAAGCUGCAGCAGUGGACGGAUGAUGAUCUGAAGAAAUGAGAUCCCUGAUGGGCUUGGAAGUCAUGGUUCCUGUAACCAUGAUGUCACACCCUCGUCCUGACACCGAGAUGGGCUGGACACAUCUGUCACCCAGGGCAAACAAAAUGCUUGGUCUGCAUCUUUCAGAAGAAAACUAAAAAUCAAGUAAUUUCUUAGAAGUUUGCUUGCGUGUGGCUUAAGUCUUCUUCUCCUGUUGAGGAAGGUGUUGAGUUUGACCAUGACAGCCCCACCCAGUCCUUGGCUCAUCUCACCCAUCAAAGAGGAUCUGGAGAUUCAGAGCUAUGCCGUGGAAGACCUUGUCAGAGCACCAGGCCAUACUGUGCUGCAGGUGGGGUUCAGGUGCCCAGUGACAACCACCGGGGCCGCUCAUCCCUAAACGUCUGUUGAACUUAAAGUUCUACUCAAGACUUUCUACAUUAAAUACCCUUUCAUACAGCAAAAUCAGCCAUGUUCUGAGAUGUGAAACUGCAGCACAAAGUUACUGUGGUCUCCACCUAUAGAAAUGGAAUGUUACUUCAUAAAGCCCCAGGCCAAAAAAGAAACCCCAAAACUCUGAAACGACACCCUUAAAUUUAACCUGAACAUCUGGCCAGCCUCCUCCAUCAUUGAAACUUCUCCUGAGUGUUGGCAUGGAUCCUAUGUUUCUCCAGCCAGGGAGCUUUGCUCCCCAUUCUUGAUGGACCCACUGAGUCCCAAUUUUCUACAUUUUACUUGGGUCAUUCCACCACUUUGGGAUGCUUUUCCUACUCUGUUGUACUUUAAAAAUGUUUCUUCUUUCCUAUUCUCAGCUUCACGCAUUUGUCUUCUUUCUCAAUUCAACUUGCUUAGUUCUCGCUACAUCAAUUCCUAGAGCCAUCCAUCUGCACUUCUGAAUCAUUUAAGUUUUGUUUGGCUACAAGUAAUGGAAACCCACUCUGAGUAACUCAAGCAAGAACUGGAAUUUAUUGGAAGGACAGUGGGAUAUAUCAUAAGAUCCAAAAAGAAUUGAACAAAUAAAAUUUCAGAGGGAAGAAAAAGGGCAGCUCCAGUGACUUCAGCAACAAGACAACAUAAGUCUUUCUAGAGCAUAGCUACUAAUAUUAUUCAGCUGCAAGAGCCCCUCCCCAUGAGAAACUUGAUUGAAAAUUCUGAUUUCCCACAGAGAAGAAUCUGAUCGACUCAGUUUAGCUUUGGUUGCCCAACUGCUCAAUCUUGCAUGAAUUAUUUCCAGCCAAGGGGACAAGGUGUAUUAUAGGGACACACCUGCUUUCUCCAAAGAAAAGAUCUGGGCAUUUCCUGAUCAUUUCCCUGAGAAGGAGGAAUCAUUGUGAGCCAAGAAGAUACCUCAAGUAUAAUGAGCUCAGUUACACUUUUUUGAUAUCUGAGUAUUUGGUAUGUAGUGUGCAUUUUAAAAAACAUGUCUCUCUCCAGGACAAUGUUAACCUCUUCCACGGUGGAGUGGGGCUAUGUGAUUUUGUGCUUAAUUUACCUAGCUGGUGGGCCUCCAGUAGAGGCUGUAGUCGAGCCAGCUGAUACCACAUCAGUUCUCCAAAGGAACAAAAGCUGCCCUUCCUUCCUUAUUGCAAAGUUUGACAAAAAGCAAAACGUGAAGAAUAAAAGCGACUUGCAUUGUCUAACAUCUACCGCAGUGUUUGAGCUGCAGCUGCUCCUCCUCCCCUGAUUGUUUUCAAAUAUUUCUUCAAAAAAGGCAUUAAAGAAAAACACAAGAUAUUGCACAGGGAACCAAAACAAAUCACAAUCUUCAAGGACAAAGCAUUGCAAAAUGGCUUACAUCCCCAAAUGGGAACAGAUAUGGUUGGAAAUUAAAACAAUCUUUUUUAUUUUAAGCGGAAAUGCUAGCAGAUGCCACAAGAAACAUAUGGAACUCGCCACAGACAAAUAGGGAAUGCUUUCUGCGUGUGGAAGUAGAGCAAAGGGAGUGACCACCUCUGACUGUCAGGGGGAACCAUCAGCUCGAACUGUUUGCUAUGGCAGGAGGGAGUUUGCAGAGUCCGGAGUCCUGCCCUCAUGAAAAAGCUUUAACGGUCUUGACUGAGUAAUUUAAGUCAUUCUUGUCAGGGAGUUUCAGAACACUAUGCACAAUUAUAUUUAUUUCACAAUGCAUUGAUUCCAGAUAUCUUUUUAAAUGUGCUUACCUCUGUGUGCGUUGUUACCUGUUCCCUCUUUGAAUCUCUGAAUGAAACAAAAUAAAUAGGAAAAAAUGGAGACAUAGAAGCAUUGUCCACAAGGCAUCUCCCACUCUAGAGGUCUCCCAGCCCCGUGCUAGCUUGUUAAUUUAUUAUCGCUUGUCUGUCAAACAAGGAAGAUAUAAUUUGCCACACAACAUGUUUUCCUAAAGCAAUGUUUUUGUACAAUUUCCUGAUUUCCAAAAAUAUGACCAAUGAUAUUCUGGUUGA
rnacentral:lncRNA from 1 species